rnacentral:rRNA from 1 species
CUACGGAGGGGACUAGCGUUGUUCGGAAUUACUGGGCGUAAAGAGUACGUAGGCGGUCUAUCAAGUUGGGUGUGAAAGCCCGGGGCUCAACCCCGGAACUGCACUCAAAACUGAUAAACUAGAGAUCGGAAGAGGUAAGUGGAAUUCCCAGUGUAGAGGUGAAAUUCGUAGAUAUUGGGAAGAACACCAGUGGCGAAGGCGGCUUACUGGUCCGAGACUGACGCUGAGGUACGAAAGCGUGGGGAGCAAACAGGAUUAGAUACACUAGUAGUCC